rnacentral:rRNA from 1 species
UACGUAGGGUGCAAGCGUUAUCCGGAAUUAUUGGGCGUAAAGAGCUCGUAGGCGGUUUGUCGCGUCUGCUGUGAAAACUGGAGGCUCAACCUCCAGCCUGCAGUGGGUACGGGCAGACUAGAGUGCGGUAGGGGAGAUUGGAAUUCCUGGUGUAGCGGUGGAAUGCGCAGAUAUCAGGAGGAACACCAAUGGCGAAGGCAGAUCUCUGGGCCGUAACUGACGCUGAGGAGCGAAAGCCAGGGAGCAAACGGG